AUAUAUAGUGUGUGUUGUUUAAAUAUUAUCGAUUCAGCAAUGAUUAUAAAUAAUCCAUAGCUCUCUGCCUGAGUUUGGAGCUCCCUGUUUUUACGAGGUAAUUAAAACUCUGUAUAAAAUUUUGAUGUUGGUCGGUUUUUCCAGCUUGACAGGGGACAAUAAUUUCAUAAUUAAAUAUUCUUUAGACUGUGACUUUGAGACUACAACUACUGUAUAUGGCUGAGAAGCAUAUCUAGUUACCAAGCCUUUCAGUGUUUAAAAAGCUACAGUGUUUUGAAGCGUUUUAAACCUGGCUCCAUACUGACACCUGUUGCCCACUUAAAUAUUUUACCUUAAUAUAUACUGUAUAUUUAAUACGUCAGAACAGCUUCAAUGUGUAUUGUAUUUUGUUAUAUAUUAUAUAAUGUUAAGCACCCCCACAAUUGAUAUGUUUGCAACCUUAAAAUUCUAGGCUCCUUUAUGUUCAUGUAUGAAAGUUAUUUACAUAUCAUUCAAUACACAGCAAUAGUUUUACUCCAAGAUGUUGCUUAAAAAAUAUAAAGUUGCAUCUGGUUUGACACUAUUGAGGGAAUAAUUCACUUUGUGACUCUAUCAUUUAACUUGAGGCCUUUUGUUUUUGAAUCAUUGGGUAAAGAGCAAUUGAGUGAUCACCAUGCUGCACAGGGCAGUGGACACUUGUGCCUUGUAAACCCCAGGAAAGCUUUCCAGUUGGUAAUAAGCUGUUGGUAUUGUACUUGUUCUUGUAAAGCAGAACAUCUCUGUACCAUUUUUCUGCACCUCAUAAAAAGCAGACAAGACCUUGUGCAAGCUGUGCUGUGUGUGUGGGAACACUGACAACUACUGCAAAUAAUAUUGAGUAGUGGGGGGAACAUUUUGAGGAGCUCCACAGCUCAGUGGACAUUCCCGAACUCCAGGAGGCCAGAAAUCUAUGGUGUGAAGGGGGCUUACUAUGAUGGUUAGAAACUUUUGGUAUUAGCAAGACAUCAUAAGUAAAUUUAAUUUUGCACAGAGGCAUAGGACAGUGUUUCGGUUGUGAUUAAUAUCUUUAAUGUUGCAAAGAAUUUGAGUGCCUUUGGACUAGAAAACUGGGAUACUAGUCUUUUUUUUUUUUUUUUUUUUUAAAGAAAAGAAAAAAAGUAGGUGUGCACUAAUUAUUGGGAAAGCACACUCCUCAGCCUCGAGGGAAAACUCUAUGCCUAGAUGCUGGUCAGGAGACUCUGCUCGAUAGUUGAACCUAGGAUUCAGGAGGAACAAUGUGGGUUCCGUCCAGUCUACAUGUGUCAUGUGGACUUGGAGAAGAAUUGUUAUGCCAGAUUAUUUUAUGUAAAUAGUUAAUAUUGGAUUAGAUUAAAUUGGAGAAUAGUUGCACUGUGUAAUCAAGUAUUUUUACUAGAGCUUAAACAACUAAUCGAUAAAAAUCGGUAAUAAUCGUUUAUGAAAAUCGUUGUCAACGAAUCUCAUUAUCGAUUAGUCGGUCUGCGCGCGCACGAGGGAGAUUUACUCACUGCGUUACUUCUGUUCCGAAAACACGCUUCGGAGAGCAAAUACUAAAUUUCUGUCCCAAAUGAAGUACUGUACACUUACACGAUGCACUGUGUACUCUACUGUCUAGUGUGUGGAUUUUAGAAAGGUAAUAUCAUCUCAACUGGAACACUAGCGGGGUUUUUUUACUAACCGGAAGUAUAUGCCGCUUCCUACGUGACGUCAUAUCACGUAAUGCGACGGUGCUAGCUUUAGCCUAAUACCCAGAAUCACCGUACAUGACUCUCUUUUCUCUCAAUGACCAUCAGACGGAGGAGAAAUCGUCAAGGGACUGAGGAACGAAAUCUGCGAGCUCCAAGUCCUCUAAGGCAGAGGAGUAUUUUAUAUUAAACACCGCGGAGAAGAUUUAUAAACUUUAUAAAGCGGAGAUUGUGUAGCACGAACACGACAGUGGUGCUGUCGCGAGUUGCUUUAAAGGUUUAGUUUAAUUUAAGUUUAUUGACAUUAUAUGCUGUAUCAGUGUAACUUAUGUUCUUUAUUAUAACGGAAGUGAUGUGUUAGUAAUGAGGCCGCGUUGCUCCUCACGCGCGGUGUAGAGGCGCUGAUACUGAGUGCAGUUUCUGAUACUCAGUCCUCGGGGAAAUGCUGUUACAGAAUGCAAUUUAUUUACAGACAUUUAGUUUUCUUCAUAUUUUUUUAUUUGAAUUUUUUUGAGUUAUUUUGCCAUAUUUUUCUCAUCUUUGUCCACUUAAAUUUUUUCACAAGUGUGCACUGGAUUUAUGGAUGUUAGUCACCUUGCACCAAACACCAAACUUUGGGACAAGUACUUUCACAUCCCACUGCCAUAUUUUCUAUGUUAAAGUUGCUUUCCGUCACCCAUCUGUCAACACACCCCUUUCAGGGUCACGGGGAACCUGGAGCCUAUCCCAGGGAGCAUGGGGCACAAGGCGGGGUACACCCUGGACGGAGUGCCAAUCCAUCGCAGGACACAAUCACACACACAUUCACACUCACACACCCAUUCAUACACUACGGACACUUUGGACAUGCCAAUCAGCCUACCAUGCAUGCCUUUGGACUGGGGGGAACACGGGGAGAACAUGCAAACUCCGCACACAGGGUAGCGGCAGGAGUUGAACCCCCAAACCUGGAGGUGUGAGGCGAACAUCCAAUUAUAAAUAUUAACAAACAUUUUGUUUUACCCUAAAUUUCUUUUGCUGAUUAACCUACUUCACAAUAUAUAGUAAAUUAUACCUCAAACAGGUGAAUAGGGGUGAAGUGAAUGUGUUUAGUUUCCUUUGGAUCUCAGCAUUCUUCACAUUCCCUCUACUGGAUCAUAUUUAAAGAAUGAUUCCCAUUACAUUCAACCCUAUCACCCCCCCCCCCCCCCAAAAAAAAAAAAAAAAAAAACAAAACUUUCUUGCCCCAGCUGCUUCAACAUAAGAGUAGUAAGCCCUUACCCUAGAGACUUUGUUUAAACUUUGCUUCAUAGAUCUCCAAGAUUCCAGUCCUGAAAAGAGGUCAUUGUGAUUGAUAGUUCAAGCGGAUGAAGCCAAUUGUAAAUAAAAAGAAAGCAGUUGACUUGGACAUUCAGAAAAUCAAUGGACUAAGUUAUAAGAAUGUAGCAAAAUGGUCAGAAAAAAUAGGAAAAAUCUGUUUCUGAUGGUAUCUCCAAAAUAAUCUCACACGUGUAGGUGAUGGUGAAUGCUUUUUAUUGUUUUAUUCAUUUAUUGAUUUAUUUAAGCUUAUUUGUAUUUUUUAUUUAAUUGAUGCUUUAAAUUACUUUUUAUUGUAUCUAAUGUGUUUGGUACUGUAAGUAAAGAAGACUUGACUUAAAAUCUAAAUUCUCUAGAAUUAAAACCAUCAAAGCCA